rnacentral:rRNA from 1 species
UACGUAGGGGGCAAGCGUUAUCCGGAAUUACUGGGUGUAAAGGGAGCGUAGACGGUAAUGUAAGUCUGGAGUGAAAGCCCGUGGCUCAACCGCGGAACUGCUUUGGAAACUGUAUAGCUUGAGUACUGGAGAGGCAGGCGGAAUUCCGUGUGUAGCGGUGAAAUGCGUAGAUAUACGGAGGAACACCAGUGGCGAAGGCGGCCUGCUGGACAAUAACUGACGCUGAGGCGCGAAAGCGUGGGGAGCAAACAGG